UAUGGUGACUUUAGCAAUGGGGUGCACCUGAUUCCAUACCGAACUCAGAAGUUAAGCCCAUUAGCGUCGACGAUAGCUGUAAAGUGAAAAUAGAACGUCGCUAUUU
rnacentral:rRNA from 1 species